GAUGAACGCUGGCGGCGUGCCUAAUACAUGCAAGUCGAGCGAACAGGCGAGGAGCUUGCUCCUCUGACGUUAGCGGCGGACGGGUGAGUAACACGUGGAUAACCUACCUAUAAGACUGGGAUAACUUCGGGAAACCGGAGCUAAUACCGGAUAAUAUAUUGAACCGCAUGGUUCAAUAGUGAAAGACGGUUUUGCUGUCACUUAUAGAUGGAUCCGCGCCGCAUUAGCUAGUUGGUAAGGUAACGGCUUACCAAGGCAACGAUGCGUAGCCGACCUGAGAGGGUGAUCGCCAACCCUGAACCUAGACCCCGGCCAGGCCCCCACGGGAAGGAGGAGGUGGGAAUUCUUCCCAAUUGGGCGAAGCCUUACCGGGGAACCCCCGCGUAGGUGUGAAGGUUCUUCGAUUGGUAAACCUCUGUUAUAGGGAAAAACAAAAUGUGAAAGUACCUAUGCCCGUCUGACCGGUCCCUAAUCAAAAGCCACGGCUAACUACGUG
rnacentral:rRNA from 1 species